rnacentral:rRNA from 1 species
UACGUAGGGGGCAAGCGUUGUCCGGAAUCAUUGGGCGUAAAGAGCGUGUAGGCGGCCCGGUCAGUCCGCCGUGAAAGUCCAGGGCUCAACCCCUGGAAUGCCGGUGGAUACUGCCGGGCUGGAGUCCGGAAGAGGCGAGUGGAAUUCCGUGGUGUAGCGGUGAAAUGCGCAGAUAUCAGGAGGAACACCAAUGGCGAAGGCAGCUCGCUGGGACGGUACUGACGCUGAGACGCGAAAGCGUGGGGAGCAAACAGG